GUUUACUUCAGUGGCACAUGUACUAACACUAGAACAAUAUAGAGAAGAUUAGCAUGGCCCCUGUGGAAGGAUGACACGCAAAUUUGUGAAGUGUUCCAUAUUUUU
ensembl:snRNA U6 U6 spliceosomal RNA